rnacentral:lncRNA from 1 species
UCUGUUCAACAUAUCAAUGAAGGUGUCUUCGUUGCAUGGAAUUGUGAGGCCGCCUUCUGGAUGACUAAACCCAAAUUCUUCCUCUGCUUGACUUAACAGGUCUUGGAAAGUAGGCUCGUUUAAGUAAGAGAUCGGAACUACAAAUCUUCUUCUUUGGUCCUCCCCGACAUAAACUGCCAUGCAUCCCUUCGGGACAUUUGUACUACGAUCAAGAUUUGUUGAGGAGAAUUGGCGGUUGAGAAUUUGCUUGAGACUAGUGAUACGAGGAACAUGAAUACCCAUGAUGCUAAAAUCAAAAAUUUGUAGUAUUCAGGAUAAACUCUGCUGAUAUUGAAAUACAAGGACUUGUGCAGAUGGAAGGCUUAGACACUUGAAUACAAUUGAUUAUGUGAUGAAUUUGGUUGAGUUUAUAAUAGCUAUUUUAUAGAGCACAUAGGAAGUAGUAUCGAACGAUUGAACAUUUGAUUGAGUGGCGCAGAUGAAUUAGGCAUUAGCACAUGCUAUUCUCUCUCAAUGGCCACAUAUGUUUAAGAUUUAUGGUAGGACUUAAAUGUCUGUUAAGAAACAUCAUGUCCUACUACUUUUGUUCUACAAAUCUGAACCUGAUAUCUUCUCAUCUAAAUAUGUGUUAUGUGAACGCCAUACAAAUAAUUUGGCUUGAAACUCUUGAGUUUUAGUUAGGUGCUCAUGUGAUAGUGUUUUCAUUCACCCAUCCUAGCUGUUAUUUUGUUGCAUUGAUGAAUCAUUUAGUAGAAAACAGUAGCUGCUGGGGCUUAAUCAAGCAGACUCCGUAGGGCUUGAUGUCUCGCAACACACAUAAAUCAAAUCUUCUUGGUCAUAUAUACUUGUAGCUAUUAGAACAGAAUAUCAUGUGCAAGUGUCUAUUGCUUCUUCGCCCCACGGAUAAUAUUUUGGAUAAAUUGUUUGAGAAGUUCUAUCAUCUAUGUUCUAUAUAUACAUAUAUUUAAGCAUUAGUAGAAUUCAUCACAAACUCAAUUGCUUCAAGCCUUAAACUUACAUUUCCUUGCGUUUCUGGUGUAUCGCCCAACUCUUCACUAAAAUAUCUAUAGCAGAAUGGGUAUUCGCGUGCCUCGCAUUGCUAAUCUCAAACAAAUCCUCAACCGGUCAUCUUUCCUGAUAAAUCCUGAUCUUACUUCAACGAUUCCAAAGGGGUGCUUGGCAGUUUAUAUUGGGGAGAGCCAAAGAAGCCGAUUUGUUGUUCCUGUUUCAUACCUGAAUGAGCCGGACUUUCAAGAAUUGUUAAGUCAAGCUGAGGAAGAAUUUGGAUUCAAUCAUCCGGAAGGAGGUCUUACAAUUCCAUGCUCAGUGGACACAUUCAAUGAAAUCACUUCGCGCCUGAACAGAUUAUAACGGAAACCAAUUCAUAUACAUGUAGAUAGUAUUCCGAUCUCAUUUGAUGAGCUUCUGAGUGUAAAUUGUAGAAUAGGAUUAGUUUAUAACUAUUAUGUAGGCAACGUCUAAUUUGAUCCCCCAUUUUUGUUGAUAUUUCUACCAUUUCUUAUAACAAGUUUACGUUGAGCAGUAAAAAAUUCCAAUUAUCAUACCUGAAUGAGGCUGCCUUCCAAGACUUGUCAAGUUAAGCCCAAGAAGAACAUGUGUUGAAUCAUUCAAAAGGUGCCUUCAUAAUUCUCGACACCUUCAUUAACCUCACUUUGAAAAAAAUUAAAUUGUUAAAUAGUAAAGCAUCUCCAAACAUGUAAACUUAAAUGUAUCUGGAGUCGUUAUUAUUAGACGUGUGGCUUUACAUAGUGGUUUUAUGUGUUUGUCAGCUCCGGAGCAUUAAGAACUCCCGCGAAAGAAAAAGGGAAAAUUAUCAAGUUGAUCACUCGUUUCAUUCAAAUAUAUCAAGUAGAUCAUUACUUUCUAGUUUGACUCAAGUUAAUCUAUUCUUUCUGUUAAUUUGUACAUGUCGUUAGGCUCAACUCUGCUUUUUAGUCAUUUAUAAUAUCAAAUGUUAAUAUUUAUGUUAAUUAUCGACCCGGAACAGCGUGAAAGUAAAUAGGAUAACCUCACAUGUAAAUGAACUUCAAAAAUUUAUAAGCUCUACUGGUUAGGUCAUGACAUAAAUUCUUGUGAUCUUCAUUUACAUGUCAGACUAUCCUAGUCACUUCCAUGCUGCACUCGAUAACUAACGAAAAUAUUAACAGUAAUUGUUGUAAUUGAUUGAAAAAGAGAUUAGAUUCAUACUGCUUGUACGGAAUAACAGAGUGAAUGGUUAACUUGAGUCAAACUGGAAAGUAAUGAUUUACUUGAUAUAUUUGGAUGAAACGAGUGACUAACUUGAUAUUUUUCCCAAAAGAAAAAUAUCAUCGGGGGUAUGAAACUGGCAAGGAGUAGAGAUCGACCGAACAAGAAAGAUUAAGCAAAAUAAAAAGAAAUUCUGACAAUACAUAGAGGGUUCAUUCGAUUUCUCUUUGAUUAUUUUUCAAGUUGAUCUACCAAACCUUCUUGUGAUCUAUGUUGAAUGGUUAAUUAUGUGAACAAGCAAUUGUUCAUAUUAUUAUUAUUAAUUAUCAAUGGAGCCACCCCCUUUUCUUUAGGAAUGUGACACUAUUUUUUAGAUCCUUUAAUUUGAUGAACAAAAACAUAACCAAACCUGAACAAAAUUACAUCAACUGUCCUUGCAAAAAAAGAAAUUUAAAGAAAGGAGAAACUUAUGGUAGAUAUUUAAACCUUCACAAUAAAGGGAAGAUGGACAACGAAAGAACUUUUAAAAAAUAUAUCCAGAAUCCAGGAAUAGGCUACUAGUAAAGGUUGGUCCUUGACCUUUCCCUAAUGACAAGGUCAGUGGUUCAUAUCCACACUCCACUUCGCUAUGAAGUUCCGUGUUAUAAGCAUGCAUGUUUUUAUUCCUUAGCAAUUCAUUUCUCAUACAAUGCUCAAGCAAGAAGUGAGUUUAAAGAAUAUGUCUACUCUACAUGGAAUAGUAAGACCACCUUCUACAUGAUCAACUAUGAAUUCUUUUUCGGCUUGAGUCAAUAAAUUUUGAUAGGGAGGUUCACUUAAAUAUGCUAUCGGGAUUGUAUAAGCUACUUCUCUGGCCUCCCCAACAUAAACUGCCAUAAGCCUUUUGGAAGAAGAAGCACUGUUGAACUAGCAAGAUAUCUCAACAAAACAGAGAAGACUGAUUGAUACUUUUCUUAACAUGAGAAAUAACAGUCAUACGGUUUUCAUGGUGUAAUGAAAAAAUUGACAGGAAUGAUUAUAUAAUGAAAGUAGAUGUGGAUGAAAAUUUUGAUGGUUCGGCUAAUUAGUUUAUGUUGACUUGUUUGCAGUUCCAUUUUUCUGCGAUUAGAUAUAAAAAGGAGAAAUGAAAUAUCAUCUAAAAUAUGAGAAAUUCACACGCCUUUCUCUUUGGCUCACCACAUAGAUUAACAACUCAGAGGCCAUAUCUAUUUCUGCUAGGAAACAUCUCAUGUUCCCAAUUGAUUGCUUAUGUGCACCACCUCAAAAAUCAACACUUCUGCAUCAGAUAAAGAUUUCAAGAGAGAGUAGCACAUGGGUCUGUAUUUAUGUUACCCUACUGCUUCUUGUACCACAAAGCCAAAUACAUGCUUCAGACAAGGAUUAGAAGGUUGAUUUUACGUUUGAUUAUGUUAAAAAUUCAAAUAAUUGGACUCCUAAAAAUUUAAGGCAGAGCUAUCAGACAACUAAGAUAUUUGAUUAUCCUUGGUAUGUGUAGGGCAAGUUGUGUCUUGGUAAGCAGAGACAUAUAUCCCAAACUUCUCCAACCUUGCUACACAUUCUGUAUUUGUAGGACAUCACCAUGUGCUAGUGACUUAUUAUUUCAUUUUCAGUGUUCAAGAAACCUUCUAUAUAAACAUAGCGAAUUUGACAUAAAUCAACACAAGGCUUACUAGCAAACCUUCAUUUCUUUCAUCAAGCAUCGUCCACGUAUAACAUAAAUCAAGUAUCUGUGAUCAGUUCCACGUUAUUCUGAAAUUUAUCGAAAUUGGCAUAUAAUAGUGGGUUAACAGAUAAAUUUCUUGAAAAUUGAUAUGGGAGAAAGCAGCCUCUUAUCUUAUAUUCCUAUAUUUCAGAAAGAUUUAGUCAGAACCUAUUACAGUUUCUCUGUGAUCAUAUUUACUAGACCGAAAUUGAUCAGGCAUCGACCUGCAGAAGAUACUUGGCAAGGUAUAACAAUAAUGCUUCAAGUUGCUUCAAGUUAAAUCUGCAGCACAUACAUUAUUUCAUUUAUUUUAUGUUAGAGAUUGAUCACCCCUAGACAAAAAAUGCGCUACAUUAUGUGUUCUACAAAUGUAUACCUGAUCAAGACUUGAUAUGAAAUUACAAAUUCAAAUUGGAACUUUAAGUUGAUAUUUUGACGAUAUGAUUUAUUUUUUCAGAUUUAUAGUUGAUUAUUAGUUUGAGUUUUAUGCAUAAUUGGUUUGGUUUUUGACUUAUUAUGAAUUGAUAAUGACAUAGCUGUAAUAAGAGUUGCAUGCUAGUAAUUUGGGUUGAGUUAUGUGUGAUUAUGUUUAUGUAUCACUGAGUUUGGUAUAUGAGGGCAGCCCUGUGAUUUUAUGUUCAUGGAAUGGUGAUAUCUUUAAAUUUAAUUAUGAAUUCUGUGAUUUUAUUGAGUUGAUUGCUUUUAGUUUCAUCUGCAUGCCCUGUCCUAUGCUAAAUCUGCAGCCUUGAGUUUAUAUGUGCUGUGUUCAAUUCGAAAAUUUGGGGAAAACAGGCCUAAUGACAUGAGACUUUGAUUAUCUAAUGACCUUGAUGUGGACCAAGAGAAUUUGGCUAAAUUUUAAAUCAAAUAACGAAUGUUAUGUGAGGAUUCAGUUCUGAUAUAAGUGUGUAGUGAUUAUUAAAAAACCAUAAAUCUUGUUAGCAUAUAAAUGGAUAAUAAGAGAAAUUUUAUGAAUUUCAUAAGUGCUUGAUGCUUCUGUUCUUGAAUCCAAUAAUGUAGAAUUUAUAAAAACAACUAAUUCAAGGUUUAAGAAAUUUAGACAGAUCGAGUGUUAAUUCCAGUCAUUAAGAAAGGCAUACUUGCUCUGAUACCACUGUUGAGCCAGCUAAGCAAGCCAGUUACGGACCAGUUACGGACCAAUUACGGUCCAACCUUGCUCUGAGCCAAGACUCCACAAUAGUACGAUAUUGUCCGCUUUGGUACGAUAUUGUCCGCUUUGGGCCUAGCCCGCAUGGCUUUGUUUUUGGGCACCUCUCAAAAGGCCUCGUUCUAUUGGAGUUGUUCUGGCUGCUUAUAUUCUAACUUUAUGCUCCUCCCACAACCGAUGUGGGAUUUGUUCUAACAGUAACUUUUGAGACAGAUUCUAUUUCUGGUGGUAAACAUCUCAUGGACCCAGUUGAAUGCUUAUACAUAGAAGAACAGAGAAGUAAUCAAUUAUUAAACAUCAAUCAAGAGAUUACAAUAGAAAGUAGCACAUCAGUUUGUACCUGCAUUACCUUACUACUUCCCGUACCACAAAAAUAUAAUAUAUGUGCUCAGACAAGGGUUAGAUGGUAUGAUUCCUGUGUGAUGGUGUUUAAAAUCUCAAAAAAUAGACAACCUAUAAAUUCAAGAUCAUCAUAUGUAAUACGGCAGGGUGUGUCUUGGUCAUACAGUCUUCCUAUUCAUUUGAUAUUUGUAGGACAAAACCAUGUGGAAGUGACUUAUUAUCACCAAUGUAUAUGCAUUAGUAGUCCUUAAUUUACUAUUCAAGAAUUGGUUCAUCUGCUAUAUAAGCACAUCAUUGGGAUUUUAACGGAAACCAUUUUAAGCUUAACACUAUUAACCUUCAUUUGUUCGUCUAGCCAUUGGUUAGUCAUCUACCUCAUUAACAUUCAUUCCAUGCACAUAAAGUCACUUACAAUCACGUCUAUUCACAUUCCUCGUAUUCCUCAUGUCAAGCAAAUUUGUGAAAAAAAAUCUGCAUAUACAGCAAAACAAUUAGCAGCGACGUCUAUGGAUAUAAAGAAGUUGCUGGAUAUCUCGUAGGUGGAAAAAACAUUGUCACAUGAAGACCUUAUUUGUGAACCCCGCCAUAAAACAAUUAAGUCUCUAGGAAAAUUGUAGGACAUCAAGUGUUAAUGUAUACCAUUUCAAUAUAAUGUCACUUUCUGUAAAUUUGUUGUGGAUGAUUUGAUAAGUAGGGGCAUGCUGUCUUGCAACAGACAGAGAAGUCAUUCUAUCUGUCAUAAAUAUAUGUAGCUAUUGAAAGAGAAAUUCAUGUGCUAGUGUCUAAUGCCUCUUCACCACUCAAGUUACAUUUUGAUGAACUGUUCAAUUUUCUAUAUAAAUACAUAACUGGGUAUUAAUAAAUUUCACCACAAAACUCAAUUGUCUAAAGUCUUCACUAUACAAGUCCUUUACUUUCUCCAUAUUCUCUAAUUGAUCUAAUAGUAUUAUGGGUAUUCGUUUGCCUCGUGUUACCAAUCUCAAGAAAAUCCUUAACCCGUCAUCUUUCUUGAUAAGUCCUGAUUAUACUUCAACAGUUCCAAAGGGUUGCUUGGCAGUAUAUAUUGGGGAGAAGCAAAGAAGAAGAUUUGUGGUUCCCAUUUCAUACCUGAAUGAUCCUGCCUUCCAAGACUUGUUAAAUCAAGCUGAGGAAGAAUUUGGGUUCAGCCAACCAGAAGGCGGCCUCACUAUUCCCUGCUCAGUGGACACAUUCAUUCACCUUGCUUCACACCUGGAUAGAUCAUAGAGAAAAACAUUUAUAUACUGGUAGAUAGUAUGGCAUUGAAAUGUAAAUAGUAGAAUAGAGAUUUUAAUCAGAUUUUUGUUGGCAACGGAUGAUUUGAAGCUCACCAUUUUGUUGAAUUUAACUUUACCAAAAUUUAUCCAUCAUAGUUUCUUCUUAAAAAUCUCUAUUCUACUAUUUAAUAUAAAGAACUAAAAAAUUUGAUUGCCAAAUUAGUAACUUUUUCUUGUAAUAUAUGCACUCGUAAAGCAAAUUAGGGAUUUUGAAAUCUCCUUAUGAUUUGCAUCCAAUGACAUUCGCAUAGAAAAGAAAAUGAUCUGAAGACUGCAGGCUCUUCCUUAGAUUUUAGGCAUCCAGGAGAUUUUCUGAUUACAAUGAGACAGCAAAUUUUCUUCUGUCUUGGCUACCUGCUGCAUGUAAUGACAUAUGAUUCGAACUGUGAAUGUCAAGUCUGGUCAGAGUUAGAAAGUUAAACUUAUCUACCCAGAACCAAUAAAUGAUGUUCUUGAUAAAAACAGCAAAUUUCAGAGGCAAUGAUUGUUGAAUGCAGACAGGUUUACAUAUUAUCCUUUAGGUGGUACUAACAUAAAAUGGAAUGAAACGACAAGCUUAUCAGUGGCUUCGUGGCUUACAUGAAGACUACAAAAAAACCUGCACAACUGAAAUUGUAAGGUUGAGUAUGUCAACUGCUAGAGUGAAUUUGAAUAAACAAGUUCUUCACAUCAAUCCAAAGAGAUCUCGGUAAUCCCAGGAGAGCAAUAUGUAUGAAUAAAUAGAUGCUAAUCAAUUAAGCAAAAUAAAUUCUUCACUGAUAUGUAAAAAUAAUAAUUCUGUGUAAUGAGAUGGUUACUCUAAUCUUCCCUAGGUUAUCAAAUGGAAGCGGAUUGAGUAGUAUACAGUACAAACCAGAACCUUACAAAAUUGUUAGUACCAGAUUAUAGCUACUUGUUUCUUAUAUCUGCGCAAGACUAAACUGAGGUUAACCAAUGUCUUCUCUACACGGAAAAGCCACUUCAAACAAUAAAGACAUAGAAAUUGCUCUUCUUUUGAACAAUUACAUUUGUGAUCGGACCAAUAAUGUAUAAAGCUGCUUAUCUAUAUUUCAAAUAAAAAUGACUACAUACUGAUUGCAGAGAUCAAAUCCAUGUAGAAAUUAAUGAAAUCAAAUUACAAAGUAUCAGCUAAUGUUCUACCUACAAGAUUUAUAUGAGAGCCAUAUAUAAAAUUUCUAGACUAGCUUACAAAAUUUGUACACUGUCUAACAACAUAUAUAUAAACUCUCAUAAUCUGUUCAAGAGAUCAAUGAAGGUGUCUUCUUUGCAUGGAAUUGUGAGGCCACCUUCUGGCUGACUAAACCCAAAUUCUUCCUCUGCUUGACUUAACAGUUCUUGGAACGUAGGCUCGUUUAAGUAAGAAAUCGGAACUACAAAUCUUCUUCUUUGGUUCUCCCCAACAUAAACUGCAAUGCAUCCCUUAGGGACAUUUGUACUACGAUCAAAAUUUUUUAAGGAAAAUUGUCUGUUGAGAAUUUGCUUGAGAUUAGUGAUAUGAGGCACACGAAUACCCAUGAUGCUCAAGAAAAAUUGAAACUUCAACGGAUAAUCUCUGGGGAUAUCGAAAAUACAAGAACUUCUGAAGAUGGAAGGCUUAGACCCUUAAUUACACUUGAUUUUGUGAUGAAAUUGGUUGAGGAUAUCACAGUUUUUAUAUAGAAAUGACAAGUAAUGAGUGGUUGAUUUAAAUGCAGAUUGAGUGGCACAGAUGCAUUAGGCAAUAGCACAUGCUAUUCUCUUUCAAAGGCCACACAUAUUUAAGAGUAAUGUCUGUUGAGAGACGUCAAUUCCUACUGCUUCUGUUCAACAAAUCUGGACCUGAUAUAUUCUCAUGUCCUACUGAUAGUGUAGAUAAGACAGAAUAUAACAUAAAAUAUACGGAUAUGAACAAGAUACAGAUAAUUUGGCUGGAAAGUCCUCACUUUGCCUGGAAACCAAGGUAGCAAAUUUUAUGUUGUUAGUUUUUGUGGUCAGUAGUUGUGGGUGGGACAGACAAGUUAGGUACUCAUGUGAUAGUGUUUUCAUUCACCUAGCCUAGCUGUUUAUUUUGUGUAGUAGGAAACACCUGAUACAAGUUGUUAUAUCCAUGAAAGAAAGGGCAAAUUUAUGUAAGAAAUAGAUGACUGUUAGGAUUUUGUGUGUUAGGAUUAUAAGUUUUUAUAUGUUUAUAUUCACAAAACAAAAAGUAAAUAAAAAUAGACGGGUGCUGGUCCCCAGCAUAUGGUUGCUGGGGAGGGUUUAAACAACAUACAGCUCCUGAACUGUUGGAUCAGAUGAGGGACGGCUGAGAUAAAAAAAAAAAUGUUCUCGUCCAGCGCUUAAAAACCGCUGAACGGUACACGUAGAAUUUUUUUAUUUUUUUUGUGUCCAGCGCCUAAGAAGCGCUGGAAGCACAGGCAAAUUUCAUGUGCGGCUCUGGAGCCUGUUAUCAAGUUCUCAAAAGGUUUAUUAGCCUUGUUCAUUGAAAAUAGCUCUCAUUCUUGUUAUCAUUUUUUCUAGAAGAUCUUGACAAGCCAAAUGAAUAUAUAUCUUCUGUCUGGGCCUUGGUGCCUCCGGUAACUCCCAAGCCAGGCCCCUGAUUCACCAGAAUUUUAUUAGGAGAUAAUUCCAAAGAUGUGAAGGGUUCUCGAUUUGCAAAAUUCAUAGCUGAAAGACAGAAAAUGCUAAAGAAGAUUUCUGACAGAUAAAUUAGAUAGCUCUUUUAUCAAAUUUCUUCCCAGCAAGUUGUGACAGUUGCCCAAUUCCAGUAUAAAUUAGGAAGAGAACUGCCACCAACUGGAAAUAUACUUUGAAGAUCCACUAGAAGCCAUGAAAAAAUAUAUCACCACAUCUGCUUCUGCUGCAGAAGAAUGAGAGCUAUUUUUAAGAUAAAUGAGGCUAUUAACCUUUUGAGAACUUGAUAAUAGGCUCCAGAGCUGCACAUGGAAUGCGGAAUUUCAGAUGUUGUAUAAGCAUCCCUCCAUCAUGCCUUGUAUUGCUGCAUCAACAUUAAUUUAUAUCUUCUCUGGUUGCCUGUGCUUCCAGUGCGUUUUAAGCGCCGGACACAAAAAAAUAUCCUCUCGUCCAGUGCUUAAAAACCGCUGGAUGUGUACCAUUCAGUGUACACAUCCAGCGGUUUUAAAACGCUAGACGAGAACAUUUUUUCUUCUGAUCUCAGCCGUCCCUCGCUAUAUCCAACGGUCCAGAAACCGUAUGUUGUUUAAACUCUCCCCAACAAUCAUAUACUGGGGACCAACACCCAAAACAGAUUGUUGAAAUAUAGCAUAAGGUCCAUUCUAGGCCUUCCUCUAACACUUUAAGGUUUCAGAUGGAUUGUUUUUCAACAUGGUAUCAGCCAUCAGGGCUCUGAUUUGGCGGAGGUCUCAAAUGUCCACGUAGGCAUUAAUUACCCCAAAGAUGGGCGCCCGUGAUUCCCUCUUUAACCCAAAAAUGGGACUCCAGACCGCGUCUUCACUAAUUCCUUGAGAGCCGUCAUUUUGGCUCACAACUUCACCACUUCUGAUGAAUGACCUUUACUUGAGCAAUCCUCCUUCAAUUCCUCAUGCUCCGACCAAUCAUCUGCAGAUGCUUUCUUCUUGCGUCGAAACGAGCUAUACGAGCCAACCGAAUCCUCCCUUCUAGAGCGUUCACUAUACGCUGAACCUCGAAAGGAGGAUUCGUAAUCCUCUGUUGGAUACUCGGAUGAAGCAACAUGCUCAUCCUUCUUUUUCGCAAAUUCCUCUUCCCAUUUCUCAGCCUCACGCCUCUGCUUCAUCUGAAACUCUAUCCGUCUCCGCUCGCGGUCAAGGGUGUCAAGUUCGCUCUUGAUCGCUUCACGGUUCAACUGCUCCUUAUCUUCAACAGCCAAUCUUUUGGCCUUAAGCUUCUCUAAAUGCAAUCUCGCAUCACCAGAAUGUGCCUUUUUACCUUGCGGCGUCACUGCCAGUGUGCGUGUACGGCGACGUCGCCUACUACCACCUCCGGUAGGAUCCGAAUAAGCCGGACCACCGCGAGAUUCACCUGCUCUAGUUUCGAACAGCUUUUUGUGUUUUAGUGUCUAUCUCCUUAGUUACUAUCACCUCUCGUGUUUCCAGAACUUGUAUCGUCUCCCUCGCUUCAUCUGCCAUGGUAGAUCUGCCCCCUCCUUCUAGCGCCAAAUGCUGAUCUGCCCUCUCCUUCUAGCGCCAAAUGCUGGAACAGUGUAUGUAUGUUUAUUACAGAGUGUAUGUAUCUAUUCUAUUCUCAGAUUCCAACCCUGUGUUAGCUGCUCUGUUUAUAUAGCACUCUGGCACGUGACUUCCUCAUGCUUGCUGUUUGGGCUUAUUCUUCUUUGGGCUGCCUCUCACUCUGGGCCAAGGCCCAACAACUUCAACAGUUCCAAAGGGUUACUUGGCAGUAUAUAUUGGGGAGAAGCAAAGAAAAAGAUUUGUGGUUUCCAUUUCAUACCUGAAUGAUCCUGCCUUCCAAGACUUGUUAAAUCAAGCUGAGGAAGAAUUCAUUCAUUCACCAUUCAUUCACUAUUCCCUGCUCAGUGGAAACAUUCAUUCACCUUACUUCACGCCUGGAUAGAUUAUAGUGAGAAAACAUUUAUGUACAGGUAGAUAGUACAACACUGAAAUGUAUAUAGUAGAAUAGGGAUUUUGAUCAGAUUUUUGUUGGCAACGGAUAAUUUGAUACUCACCAUUUUGUUGAAUUUAACAUCACCAGAAUUUAUCGAUCAUAGUUACUUCUUAUAAAUCUGGAUUAAUAUAAAGAAAAAAAAAACUUGAUUCCCAAAUUAGUAACUUUUUCAUGUAAUAUAUGCACUCCUAAAGCAAAUUCUACAUAGGAAGGGAUUUUGAAGUCUCCUUAUGAUUUGCAUAGAAGGGAAGUGGAUUUGGUGUAUGUUUGUACCCAGAUUUUACAGGCGUCAGGACACGACGUGAACUGCACUGACACGACGGGAAGUACUGGCGACAAGACAUGUAGUGGCAGAUGGAUAAGCAUGAAGACUGGGUCUUAACAAACCCACCUUUUUAGGGGGAGAAUUCAAAUGGAAGUUAGAGAGGUGCCAGGAAUAUAGGAGGAAGUUACAUGCACGUGGGAGUUAAGUGGAGAGAAAAUAGGAGUUGCAUAUGGGAUAGGACUCUUGGAAGACAAGUAUAUAUACGGAGGGCACAUUACACUACUUCUAGGUUAUCUCUACAUGCUGCAUAAUAGACUCUGAGUUAUCUUCUACUCAUUACAUUGUAGUGCAACUCUAAGAGAUUAUCAUCAAGAGACUUCUACACGCCUACAACUUCUUCUUCUACCUAAUACCAUUAUUUUUCUUACGCAUAAACCCCAAACCAAGCCCAAGAUAUACAAAUUGAUACACACACAUAUAUACAUAUAUUAACAUACAAGGAUUUCUCUUCUUCAACUUAUAUCAGCUGAGUUACACAUCUUCAUCUCCCUCAAAUCAUUCUGCCGACGGGUACAUAGAGGUGUCGACGGGUGCACACUGCUGUUGGACGGGUGCAUGCUGCUGUCGGACAUGAACUACUUCUGAAGCCGACGUCUGCGUAUUUUUGUACUUGUAUCUUGCUUUUAUCAUACUUGUAAGCUGAUGUUACAUCAUUAUAGUGGAUAUUUGGCUGGGACAUUCCCACCCGCGGUUUUUAACCUUUUACAAGGGGUUUUCCGCGUCACCAAAAUUGUUUGUGUUCUUGUCUUUUGCUCUCUAUUCGAUAUUCAUCUAUUUGAUCUACUAAACAUUCAUACAUUAAACACUUACUCCAUUGUUAUAGAAAUUAAAUAGGCUUGGCUUUUAACCCCGCAAAUUUUGGUAAAAACAGGUGUUUGACUGGUUGCUCGUUCUGGACUUGAUUCAUAUUGACAGCAGCAUAUCUAUGGGCUGAGAAUACACUGGUUCUAGUUGGUGACUUUAAAAUUCAGUAAUAUGAAAUAUAAUUUUCAUAUGGUGUUAGAAGUUGAGUUUUAGCAUACAUGUUUGAAAAGAGACCAUGCAACUAUUAAAUUGAUCGAGAGAAAUUAUUACACGCCACAAAGGUUUCCUUUAGGAAUCUUAAGUAUCCAAGACUGCAGGCUGUUCCUUCGAUUUUAGGCAUCUAGAAGAUUUUCUGAUUACAAUGAGACAGCAGAUUUUCUUGUGUCUUGGCUACCUGCUGCAUGUAAUUAUAUAUGAUUUAAACUGUGAUGUCAAGUCUGGUCAGAGUUGAAAAGUUAAACUUAUCUACCCAGAACAAUUAAAUGAUGUUCUUGAUAAAAACAGCAAAUUUCAGAUGCAAUGAUUGAGGAACGAAGACAGGUUUACAUAUUAUCUUGUAGGUACUAAAAUGAAAAAAAAGGGAAUGAAACGUCUGGCUUACAUGAAGACUACAAAAAAACCUGCACAACUGAAAUUGGAGGGUGAGUCUGUCAGCUAUUAGAGUGAAAUUGAAUAAACAUGUUAUUUGCAUCCAUCCAAAGAGUUCUCGGUAAUUCCAGGAUAGCAAUAUGUAUGAAUGAAUAGAUACUUAUUAACUAAGCAAAAGAAAUUCUUCACUGAUGAUUUCUAAAAAAACAUAUUUCUGUGUAAUGAGAUGGUUACUUUGAUCUUCCCUAGGUUACCAGAUGGAAGUGGAUUGACUAGUAUACAUUACAAACUGGAACCUUGCAAAAUUGUUAGUACCAGAUAAUAGCUAUUUCAAAUAAAAAAGUACUUACAAAGAUAUAUAAUACCUAAAAGAUUAAAGAUUGCAGAGAUCAAAUCCAUGUAGAAAUUAAUGUGAUCAAAUUACAAUUAAAGUAUCAGCUAUUGCUCUACCUAAAAGAUUUAUAUGGGAGUCAUAUAUAAAAUUUCUGGACUAGUUUACAAAAUUUGUACACUAUCUAACAACAUAUAUAUAAACUCUCAUAAUCUGUUCAACAGAUCAAUGAAGGUGUCUUCUUUGCAUGGAAUUGUCAGGCCUCCUUCAGGAUGACUAAACCCAAAUUCUUCCUCAGCUUGACUUAACAGGUCUUGGAAUGUGGGCUCGUUUAAGUAAGAGAUCGGAACUACAAAUCUUCUUCUUUUGUUCUCCCCAACAUAAACUGCAAUACAUCCUUUAGGGACAUUUGUACUACGAUCAAGAUUCUUUAAGGAAAAUUGUCUGUUGAGAAUUUGCUUGAGAUUAGUGAUAUGAGGCACACGAACACCCAUGAUGCUCAAGAAAAAUUGAAACUUCAAAGGAUAAUCUUCGGGGAUUAUGGAGAAUACAAGAACUUCUGCAGAUGGUAGGCUUAGACCCUCAAUUAGACUUGAUUUUGUGAUGAAUUUGGUUGAGGAUAUCACAGUUUUUAUAUGGAAAUAGCAAGUAAUGAGCGGUUGAUCAAAAUGCAGAUUGAGUGGAACAGAUGCAUUAGGCAAUAGCACAUGCUAUUCUCUUUCAAAGGCCACACAUAUUUAAGAGUAAUGCUAGGACUUGAAUGUCUGUUGAGAGACAUCAUGUCCUACAAAUCUGGACCUUAUAUUUUGUCAUUUAAAUUUAGGUUUUAUGCGUAUAGUGGAGUUAAGACAGAAUAUAACACAAUAUAUACGGAUAUGAACAAGGUACAAAAAAUUUGGGUGGAAAGUCCUCACUUUGCCUGGCAAGCAAGGUAGCAAAUUUUAAGUUCUUAGUUUUUGUGGUCAGUAUUUCUGGGUGGGACAGACAAGUUAGGUACUCAUGUGAUAGUGUUUUCAUUCACCUAUCCUAGCUGUUUAUUUUGUGUAGUAGGAAACACCUGAUACAAGUUGUUAUAUCCAUGAAAGAAAGGGCAGAUUUAUGUAAGAAACAGAUUAUCAGACUUACUACACAACUUUCUGAUUGUUCUAUAUAAACACAUAAUUAAGCUCACUGGUCUAAAGUCUUUUCCAUAAAACUAUACAAGUCCUAGUGUUUAUCCAGUUUCCUGAACUCUUCUCUGAAAGAUCUUUGGUGUCAUGGGUAUCCGUAUGCCUCCUAUUACCAAUCUCAAACAAAUCCUUAUCCGCUCAUCUUACUCUUUAAAUCUCUGGGGAUAUGGAAACUUCUGCAGGUGGAAGGCUUAGACCCUUAAUUACACUUGAUUUUGUGAUGAAUUUGGCAGAGGAUAUCACAGUUUUUAUAUAUUCAUUUAAAGAGAUAUAUUCAUACAUUCACCUGAAUUAAGCUAAAAUUUUGUAAUUUCCCUGAAAAGCCUUCCAAUCUAAUAAAAAUUAAAAUAGAUACCUUAUAUACAAAUUUUAUAANCACCCAUGAUGCUCAAGAAAAAUUGAAACUUCAAAGGAUAAUCUUCGGGGAUUAUGGAGAAUACAAGAACUUCUGCAGAUGGUAGGCUUAGACCCUCAAUUAGACUUGAUUUUGUGAUGAAUUUGGUUGAGGAUAUCACAGUUUUUAUAUGGAAAUAGCAAGUAAUGAGCGGUUGAUCAAAAUGCAGAUUGAGUGGAACAGAUGCAUUAGGCAAUAGCACAUGCUAUUCUCUUUCAAAGGCCACACAUAUUUAAGAGUAAUGCUAGGACUUGAAUGUCUGUUGAGAGACAUCAUGUCCUACAAAUCUGGACCUUAUAUUUUGUCAUUUAAAUUUAGGUUUUAUGCGUAUAGUGGAGUUAAGACAGAAUAUAACACAAUAUAUACGGAUAUGAACAAGGUACAAAAAAUUUGGGUGGAAAGUCCUCACUUUGCCUGGCAAGCAAGGUAGCAAAUUUUAAGUUCUUAGUUUUUGUGGUCAGUAUUUCUGGGUGGGACAGACAAGUUAGGUACUCAUGUGAUAGUGUUUUCAUUCACCUAUCCUAGCUGUUUAUUUUGUGUAGUAGGAAACACCUGAUACAAGUUGUUAUAUCCAUGAAAGAAAGGGCAGAUUUAUGUAAGAAACAGAUUAUCAGACUUACUACACAACUUUCUGAUUGUUCUAUAUAAACACAUAAUUAAGCUCACUGGUCUAAAGUCUUUUCCAUAAAACUAUACAAGUCCUAGUGUUUAUCCAGUUUCCUGAACUCUUCUCUGAAAGAUCUUUGGUGUCAUGGGUAUCCGUAUGCCUCCUAUUACCAAUCUCAAACAAAUCCUUAUCCGCUCAUCUUACUCUUUAAAUCUCUGGGGAUAUGGAAACUUCUGCAGGUGGAAGGCUUAGACCCUUAAUUACACUUGAUUUUGUGAUGAAUUUGGCAGAGGAUAUCACAGUUUUUAUAUAUUCAUUUAAAGAGAUAUAUUCAUACAUUCACCUGAAUUAAGCUAAAAUUUUGUAAUUUCCCUGAAAAGCCUUCCAAUCUAAUAAAAAUUAAAAUAGAUACCUUAUAUACAAAUUUUAUAAGAAGUUAACAGAAACUACCCUAAAAAUUUCACAUUCUACCUCAGAGAUCAGGGAAGUCAAGUUUUAAGGUGUUUUUCGUUAACAGACUGAGACUGGUAUUUUUACGGACAAAUAGAAUUUGCUAACUAAACGUAUUUGAGAUAAGAACCGAUUACAAAAAAUCUACAAGAACGAAUAAUUUCAUGUAUUCUUGAUGCCUAAAAGAUUUUCAUGGAAAGUCUCAGUCAAAUAUAAAAUGUCUGGACUAGUUCACAAAAUUUGUAAACUAUCUAACAACAUUUCAGUAAGUAUGUAUCUGUACAGAUAUAUAUAAGCUCUCAUAAUAUGUUCAAGAGAUCAAUGAAGGUGUCUUCCUUGAAUGGAAUUGUGAGGCCACCUUCUGGAUGACUAAACCCAAAUUCUUCCUCUGCUUGACUUAAAAGGUCUUGAAAUGAAGGCUCAUUUAAGUAAGAGAUCGGAACUACAAAUCUUCUUCUUUGGUUCUCCCCAACAUAAACUGCCAUGCAUCCCUUAGGGACAUUUGUACUACGAUCAAGAUUUGUUGAGGUGAAUUGGCGGUUGAGAAUUUGCUUAAGACUAGUGAUACGAGGAACAUGAAUACCCAUGAUGCUAAAAUCAAAAAUUUGUAGUAUUCAGGAUAAACUCUGCUGAUAUUAAAAUACAAGGACUUUUGCAGAUGGAAGGCUUAGAACUUGAAUACAAUGGAUUAUGUGAUAAAUUUGGUUGAGUUUAUAAUAGCUAUUUUAUAGAGCACAUAGGAAGUAGUAUUGAACAUUUGAUUGAGUGGCACAGAUGAAUUAGGCAUUAGCACAUGCUAUUCUCUCUCAAUGGCCACAUAUGUUUAAGACUAAUGGUAGGACUUAAAUGUUUGAGUCUUGUAGUGUGGAUAAGAGAGUAUACAAAAAUGUUUGAGUCUUGUAGUGUGGAUAAGAGAGUAUACAAAUAAUUUGGCUGGAAACUCUUGAGUUUUAGUUGUGACAGACAAGUUAGGUGCUCAUGUGAUUGUGUUUUCAUUUACCCAUCCUAGCUGUUUAUUUUGUUGAAUUGAUGAAUCAUUUAGUAGAAAACAGUAGCUGCUGGGGAUUAAUCAAGCAGACGUAGUAGGGCUUGAUGUCUCGCAACACACAUAAAUCUAAUCUUCUUGGUCAUAUAUACUUGUAGCUAUCAGAACAUAAUAUCAUGUGCUAGUGUCUACUGCUUCUUCACCACUCGGAUAAUAUUUCUAAUAAAUUCUUUGAGUAGUUCUAUGUUCUAUAUAUACAUAUAUUUAAGCAUUCGUAGAAUUCAUCACAAACUCAAUUGCUUCAAGCUUUAAACUUACAUUUCCUUGUGUUUCUGUUGUUUCCCCCCAACUUUUCACUAAAAGAUCUGUUGCAUCAUGGGUAUUCGUGUGCCUCGCAUUGCUAAUCUCAAAAAAAUCCUCAACCGGUCAUCUUUCCUGAUAAAUCCUGAUCUUACUUCAACAAUUCCAAAGGGGUGCUUGGCAGUUUAUAUUGGGGAGAGGCAAAGAAGCAGAUUUGUGGUUGCGGUUUCAUACCUGAAUUUUCCUGCCUUCCAAGAAUUGUUAAGUCAAGCCGAGGAAGAAUUUGGAUUCAAUCAUCCGGAAGGAGGUCUUACGAUUCCUUGCUUAGUGGACACAUUCAAUGAAAUUGUAGAAUCGGAUUAUUUUAUACAUAUACAUCUAGAGAGCAUAGCACCUUCGAUCUCAUUUGAUGAGCUUCAGAUUGUAAAUUGUAGAAUCGGAUUAUUUUAUAAAUGCUUAUUACAUAUUUACGUAGAGCAAUAAAAAACUCUGUUUUUAAAACAUCCUUUGACAGAUUGAUUAAUAUAGAGCAUCACGGUUAUUUGUAUGUCUGUAUUGCUAAUCUUGAACAAAUCUUGACCAGUAAUUUUGUUGAUAUAUCUGACAUGUAAAUGAAUUUUAAAUAUUUAUAUGCUCCCCUAGUCAGGUUAUGACAUAAACUCUUAUAGUCUUCGACUCUUCGUUUACAUGUUAAGCUAUUCUAGUCACUUCCACGCUGCACCAUGUUGAUAACUGACGAAAAUGUUAACAUUUAAUUUUGUAAUUGACCUAAAAAGAGAUCAGAUUCAUACUGCUUGUACAAAAUAACAAAAUGAAUGAUUAAUUUGAGUCAAACUGGAAAGGAAUGAUCAAUUUGAGUCAAACUGGAAAGGAAUGAUCUACUUGAUAUAUUUGGAUGAAACGAGUGACCAACUUGAUAUUUUUCCUAAAAAAAUAUCAUAGAAAUAUGGAGUAUGAAACUAGCAAGGAAUGGAAGUCGACACAGGAAGAAAGAUUGAGCAAAAUACAAAGAAAUGUUGAGAAUACAUAGUGGUUUGAUUUGAUUUCUCUUUGAUUCUUUUUCGAGUUGAUCUACACCAAACCUUCUUGUGAUCUAUGUUGUUUGGUUAAUUAUCUGUACAGACAAUUGUUCAUAUUAUAUUAUUAAUUAUCAAUGCAGCCACCCCCUAUUCUUUGGAAUUUGAGGGUACUUUAGAUCCUUUAAUUUGAUGAACAAUAACACAAGCAAACCUGAACAGAACUGCUGAAAAAAGUUCUCCAGUAAAUCUCCAAAUUCUGCAGCAGCAUAAAUUUAAUCAUAAGAAUUUGCUUAAAAUUUACCAAAUUAUACACAAAAUUAGGCAAAUGUAUGCAUAAAAUAAGAAGUCAGCAGAAUCACAAACUAAAUUCCGUAGAUUAUAAGAGCAUCGGAGUCCAUAAUACAGAUUGCCUACUAAACUUUGCCGCAGAAAUUUUAUAAAUCAAUAAGUGUUCUAUGAAGACUUACACAACUAAUUUGCUGUAGAAUAGACAAAAUGUUCCUCAAACAAAAAAUUAAAAAUAACCCUAAUAUCAGAAUAUCAUUCAACUGCCUUCAUAGACAUUGAUACAUCCUUAAUCCUUUGAUGUGAGAUUGCUAGUUAAAACAAAAGUUAGUAUUUGGCGGGCUAGAUUGUGGAUAAUACAUGACAUGUCCUUGUAAAAAAAGAAAUUUAAAGAAAGGACAAACUUAUAGGAGAUAUUAAAACCUUCACAAUAAACGGAAGAUGGACAACAAAAGAACUUUUAAGAAAAUAUUCAGAAUCCAGGAAUAGGCUACUAGUAAAGUUGAUCCCCGACCUUUCCUAAUGACAAGGUCUGUGGUUCAUAUCCACACUCCACUUCGCUUUGAAGUCCCGCGUUAUAAGCAUGCAUGUUUUUAUUCCUUUGCCUCAACCUUAAGGUUUAUGUGAUGGAACCUUGCAAGACUAUUUCAACUGUUGAUGAUUAGCAACUUAAGAAGCAGAAUCAUAUCGUUCCGCCAUAAAGUUGAAUGGCAAUAAAAUAAUGAUAAUUAGUCUGCAAGUUCAAAUUACAAAAGUUAGUCUGUAAUCAGAACCUAAAACAGCCUAAAAUAAUAUAGAAAAAAAAGGGUGCCUAAAUUUAACUGAACUGCUUUCUUAAAAAUGGCAGUACAUCUCCUUUAGUCUCAGAUUUUUACAGCUUGUGCAAUCACAUAUGCACAUAUCUAAAAUUUUAUGAGGCUCGUGGUUCGUGAUGUUAAAUGAGACCUUGGUUGUCAGAACUGUGCUGCUGCUACUGGACAUAAAAGAGAACUGUAUUAUUGUUUGCUGCUAUAUUUAUCGGAAUGUUUAACAUAGCAUACUUCAUUCAGAGAAUAUAGAAUAUGAGAUUGACUCCUAAAAUUGACAAAAUCUUGACAGCAGAUGCAAUACAAAUCUGGAAAAAAAGCGCAUAAAAAAAAGUUGCGGACUAAUGGGAAAAACUUUAGCAUUCAGAAUAUUAUGUAGACAUAUCACAAAACAGAAAAUCCUCAUAUUCUGCAAACUAUGCUAAAAUCUGCAGUAAAUCUCUGAAUUAUGCAGAAACCCAGACUCUAUUUCUCUUAAGUUCUUUUGGAUUAUAUCGAGAAACUAAGUUGAUCGAAAAACCUUUAUCUCGCACAUCUACUUUCUGUAAUUCGACUUUAAAAACAAACUAAAAAUUGCACAUUUUUCUCCUUUUUACCCUUAACAAAAACAUUUCAUGAAUAUCCAUCAAGUCUAUAAUAAUUAAAAUUUCAAUAGUAGAAAUUAACUUAUAUACUUGCUUAUGCGGAGAACGGAUUAUAGGUUAGUUUCUAACUAAUUAAUCAAUAUAUUUCCUUGUAUAAUUUAAUUUAUAGGUCAUUUAUUUUCAUGAAUAUUCUUCAAAAGGCUAGGAACCUGCCCACUGGCUCCAUAGCCAACACAGGUAGGUAAUUCGGAGUCUCGGACUAACCGAGCGAUAAGACCCGGUGGGUGGGAACUUCCUUGCGAUACGCACGGAUAGGAACCCGAUCCCCUUUCUUCUGUCUCUUCAACUCGGGUGAACGUCAGGGAGCUGGUGAGGUUCGAACCCAUGACCCUUUGGAUCAAAGCAAGGCCCCGUUUCCACUGGGACAGCUCUCACACUUAUUUUCAAGAAUAUUGCUUUACAUCAAAUCAAGUUAAAAUUUUAUAAUUUCGAUAAAAACCCUUGAAUUGGAAAUAAUUAAAAGAAAAAUAACUUACAUAAAAAUUUAAGAUAAUUAUGCAAAAAAAUACCCCAACAAUUUGAUAUUCUACGUCGAGGAUAAUUUAAGUUUCAAAGCAAAUAAAUAUUUAUGUUUUUAUCAUAUUCACAGAUGGACUUUGCUGUUUAAUUGAGUAUAUACAUAUAGUAUGUAUGAGUUUAUAACCAGUGAUACAGAACACCUUCAAGAAAGAAUAAUUUCAAGAAUUAACACUCAAAUUUUUUUUAGUACUGCAAUUCAUUUCUCAUACAAUGCUCAAGCAAGAAGUGAGUUAAAGGAACAUGUCUACUCUACAUGGAAUAGUAAGACCACCUUCUACAUGAUCAGAUAAAGAUUUCAAGAGAGACUAGCACAUGGGUCUGUAUUUAUGUUACCCUACUGCUUCUUGUACCACUAAAUACAUGCUUCAGACAAGGAUUAGAAUGUUGAUUUUAUGUUUGAUUAUGUUAAAAAUUCAAAUAACUGGACACCUAACUAUUAAAGGCAGAGCUAUCAGACAACUAAGAAAUUUGAUUAUCCUUGGUAUUUGUAGGGCAAGUUGUGUCUUGGUAAGCAGAGAAUAUAUCCCAAACUCCUCCAACCUUGCUAUACAUUCUCUAUUUGUAGGACAUCACCAUGUGCUACUGACUUAUUAUUUCGUUUUCAUUGUUCAAGAAACCUUCUAUAUAAACAUAGGGACUUUGACAUAAAUCAACACAAGCAUACAAGCAAACCUUCAUUUCUUUUAUCAAGCAUCGUCUCAUCCUUUCCUUCUCGACAUCCACUUUAAAAAUACCAACUUAGAAACAUGGGUAUCCGCAUGCCUCGUAUUCCUCAUGUCAAGAAAAUCUUUCAGGGGUCUUCUUUGGCAACUACAGCAGUUUCAGACAUCCCAAAGGGCUGCUUGGCAGUUUAUGUUGGGGAGAGCCAAAGAAAAAGAUUUGUUGUUCCAAUUUCAUACUUGGCUGAGCCUGCCUUCCAGGACUUGCUAUGUCAAGCUGAGGAAGAAUUCGGUUUUGAUCAUCCAGAGGGGGGUCUUACAAUUCCCUGCAGAGAAGAUGUAUUUACAGAUCUCGCCUCAAGCUUGAGAAGAAAAUCAUAGAGAAGAACAUAAUCAAAAAAGUAGUUUAGAAAUUUUUUGUAAGCUAGUAGGAGAUAAGUUAGAAUAGGUUGGACCAAAGGCAUAAUUAUGCAAAUACUUUCUUCUGGUAUCUCAUGGAAUCAUUUUCAAUGAGGAAGAUCAUUACUUAAAAUUUUGUAAAAUAUUAAACUAUAUACUUCCCAUUAUAAUUUUAUGAUCUAACUAUGUUGUUUGCAAAUAACUUCCUAUCUGUAAUCAGUUCCACGUUAUUCUCAAAUUGAUCGAAAUUGGCAUAUAAGAUUGUGUUAACAGAUAAAUUUAUUGAAAAUCGAUAUGGGAGAAAGAAGCCUCUUAUCUUAUAUUCCUAUAUUUCAGAAAGAAUUAGUCAGAACCUAUCUACAGUUGCUCUGUGAUCAUAUUUACUGUGAAUACUAAAUUGAUCAAGCAUCGACCUGCAUAAACAUACAAUUCUCCUGUAUUUCCAUCGCGAAGAUCAUUGCAUAAAAAGCGGUCAAUUUAUAAACAAUCUAUAUCUCCUAUUAUAUCCUUUGACCGGAUUAUUUAGCUUGAUUGCCUUCCUCAUUUACAUCAUUUCCACAUAAUUCAGCAAUUAAAUCAACAGUUGCAUCUAAUUGUGUGUAAGAAGUAUGGUUUCAUGAAGAACUUGAAUGUCUUUUCCCUAUAUAUGGUUUCUCUCUGACAUUUGUUUCUUUAGAGGGAAUUGAUCUUUUCCCUAUAUAUGGUUUCAUGAAGUACUUGAAUGACUAUCUCUAUAUAUUUGUUUCUUUAGAGGGCAUGCCGAAAACACUUUAAAAAGGUAAAAACAAUAUACUAAUUUUCUUUUGGACUGUUCUGUAGAAGGAUAUGUUCAUUAAACCUUUUCUGACAGUCAAUUUAUUUCUGGUGGUUUCUAUUUCUUCAUGUUUUAUCUCUUAGGUAGAAAAAACAUUGUCACAUGAAGACCUAAUAUGUGAAACCCGCCAUAAAAUUAUUGAUGACAUAAUAUGCAAAUUGUAGGACAUCACGUGUUUAUGUAUACCAUUUCAAGAUAAUGUCACUUUCUGUAAUCUAUUGUGGAUGAUUUGGGUAGAGAUUUGAUAAGUAGGGGCAUGCUGUCUUGCAACAGACAGAGAAGUCAUUCUAUCACUCAUAAAUACAUGUAGCUAUUGAAAGAGAAAAUCAUGUGCUAUUGUCUAAUGCCUCUUCACCACUUGAAGUACAAAUUGAUGAACUGUUCAAUAUUUUCUAUUUUUGUAUAUAAAUACAUAACAGGGCAUUAAUAAAUUCAUCACAAACUCAAUCAUCUAAAGUCUUCACCAUACAAGUUCUUUUCUUUCUCCAUAUUCUCUAAACAAUCUAGGAGUAUUAUGGGUAUUCAUAUGCCUCGUGUUACUAAUCUCAAGAAAAUCUUUAACCCGUCUUCUUUCUUGAUAAGUCCUGAUUAUACCUUAACAGUUCCAAAGGGGUGCUUGGCAGUAUAUAUCUUGGAGAAGCAAAGAAGAAGAAGACUUAUCAAGAAAGAAGACGGGUUAAAGAAGAAGGGGGAUUGUCUAUUACAUUACAAACUAGAACCUUCCAAAAUUGUUAGUACCAGAUAAUCUGAAGUGAGGUUAAUGAAUGUUUUCUCUACAUGGAAAAGCCACUUCAGACUAUAAAGACAUGGAAUGUAUAAAGCUACUUAUAUAUAUUUCAAAUAAUAAGUACUUAUAAAGACAUAUAAUGACUACAUACUGAUUGCAGAGAUCAAAUCCAUGUAGAAAUUAAUGUCUCAAAUAUAAAAUUUCUACCUACAAGAUUUAUAUGAGAGUCAUAUAUAAAAUUUCUGGACUAGUUUACAAAAUUUGUACACUAUCUAACAACAUAUAUAUAAACUCUCAUAAUCUGUUCAAAAGAUUAAUGAAGGUGUCUUCUUUGCAUGGUAUUGUGAGGCCACCUUCUGGAUGACUAAACCCAAAUUCUUCCUCAGCUUGACUUAACAGGUCUUGGAAUGUAGGCUCGUUUAAGUAAGAUAUCGGAACUACAAAUCUUCUUCUUUGGUUCUCCCCAACAUACACUGCAACGCAUCCCUUAGGGACAUUUGUACUACGAUCAAGAUUUUUUAAGGAAAAUUGCCUGUUGAGAAUU